rnacentral:rRNA from 1 species
ACACUGCGAGUGAUAAGAUCCGUAGUGGAAAGGGAAACAACCCAGACCGUCGGCUAAGGUCCCCAAAUCCUUGUUAAGUGGAAAAGGAUGUGGGGCUGCUUAGACAACUAGGAUGUUGGCUUAGAAGCAGCCAUCAUUUAAAGAGUGCGUAAUAGCUCACUAGUCGAGUGGCCCUGCGCCGAAAAUUUACCGGGGCUAAACAAGGUACCGAAGCCACGGAUAGAACCUUUGGUUCUAUGGUAGGAGAGCGUUCUAAUCAGCAUAGAAGCCUGACUGU